rnacentral:rRNA from 1 species
CAGCAGCCGCGGUAAUACAGAGGGUGCGAGCGUUAAUCGGAUUUACUGGGCGUAAAGCGUGCGUAGGCGGCUUCUUAAGUCGGAUGUGAAAUCCCUGAGCUUAACUUAGGAAUUGCAUUCGAUACUGGGAAGCUAGAGUAUGGGAGAGGAUGGUAGAAUUCCAGGUGUAGCGGUGAAAUGCGUAGAGAUCUGGAGGAAUACCGAUGGCAAAGGCAGCCAUCUGGCCUAAUACUGACGCUGAGGUACGAAAGCAUGGGGAGCAAACAGGAUUAGAUACCCGGGUAGUCCCUGUCUCUUAUAC